GGUGAAAAAGGAACCGGCAAAACAACCGGAAAGAAGCUGUGGUACAAAGGCACUACAUUCCAUCGUGUGGUUAAAAACUUCAUGAUUCAGGGUGGGGACUUCAGUGAAGGUAAUGGAAAAGGAGGUGAAUCUAUUUAUGGUGGCUAUUUUAAAGAGAAUGUGGUCUUUUGCAAAAUGAAAAGGUAAGAGACAAAAGCUCAGUAACACAAAUUCAAACUCUGUUCCCUUGUACCCUCCCUAGUAAAUAUAUAGACAACUGAUACGUCCGUUUGUAGAUGGAUAUCUGUGUUGCUUGGAGAAAUGAAGAGUUCUGUGUCUAACCUUUCUGAGGGUUAAUGACUUAUUCUGAGAAAGAAUACUGGCAUAAUUUCCAGCUCUGAACAGUUAUUUCUUCUUUUGUUAAUGUCCCUUUCCUCCCCUUCCCUAUUCAAGGUUUGUAUGUUUAGUGUUCGUUUCUAAAAGUGUUUGACUUUGUUUUUAAGCUACACGAGUUAUUUCACUUGCAAAGAAUUUGUAAAUAAAUGUACAUUUACCUCUCUUUAAAAUCUGUUGGUGGAAGGAAAAUGGUGAGUUUAUAAAGUAUUUGUUUAAAGACCUACAAUUCUUUCUUGUAAACAAACAGGUAGAUACUGUGGUAUUCAAGUGUUAAUAAAGGCACUGUAUGUAUUUAUGUAACAGCCCCUGUUGUGUAUGUUUUGCAAGUAGCUCUGCCUGGUUAAGUGCAUGCCAUUAAGUUUGUCUUAAACAGAGACGUAGUUUGGUGUUGGAGUAUUACAGCCUUUAGUCAAAAGAAAGUCUUGAAUAGAUCCAUUUGCUAAGAAGUUACUAGGGCUUGUUUCUAGAGGCGGUGAGUGCUAAACGUGCAGCAUUGUGUUGUGAGAUGUAAACUUAAAAUAACGGCUUUGUACACUCAAAUUGCUGUUUUUAGCUUUGAAAAUGAACUUGAGAAGAUCUGGUUUUAUAUUAUGCUGUACAACCAGAAGUCCUCUUUAAUUUACUGGAAUACAAAAUGCAUGUUUAGUUUCAUCCUCAUUGAUUUUAUACUUAGGUUGCAGGAGGAAU